CUAAUUAAUUUCAAUAUUUUAAUUUCUUUCAUCUUCUUCUUCUUCUUCUCCUCUAUAUAUCAAAUCUUUUUACGUUUCUUCUUCUUUGGUAUAGAGGUCCCCGCGAAUAAUUCCAAUCUUUUCAGAUCAUAGAUUAGAUUUGCGUCUCACCUAAUUUCACAAGCCAAUAAACCCUAAUUUAGUGAUCUACCUGAUUCGAUCAAAGUUCCGAUUUCUUUUUUUUUUUUCCUUGUGCUAAAAUAUAGUUUUCCAUGAAGAAGGUGCUUAAUAGAGGUUUUAAGCCUGCUAAAUGCAAGACAGCUAUGCAGAUGGCGAAUUCACGGCUCAAGAUACUCAAGAACAAAAAGGAGAUUCAGAUUAAACAGCUUAGGAGAGAAUUAGCACAAUUGCUCGAGUCUGGACAUACCCCUACUGCUCGAAUUCGGGUGGAACAUGUGGUUAGGGAAGAGAAGACAAUGGCUGCUUAUGAGCUCAUUGGCAUAUAUUGUGAACUUCUUGUUGUUCGUUUGGGUGUUAUCGAGUCUCAAAAGAACUGCCCCAUUGAUUUGAAAGAAGCUGUCUCGAGUGUCUUAUUUGCUUCCCAGAGGUUAUCAUCAGAUGUCCCUGAGCUCUCAGAAAUCGUUAAGCAAUUCACUACCAAGUACGGGAAGGAUUUUGCUACGUCUGCUAUUGAGUUGCGUCCAGAUUCUGGUGUGAGUCGCCUGCUGGUGGAAAAAUUGUCUGCCAAAGCCCCCGAUGGUCCAACUAAGGUCAAAAUUCUGAUGGCAAUCGCUGAGGAGCAUAAUGUCGUCUGGGAGGCACAAUCUUUUGUUGAACCAGAUCCAAAAGAUGCGCUGUUGAAUGGAGCAAGCUCGUUUCAGCCAGCGAGUACUAUGAACAUGGACUCAUCUAUAAAAUCAAACAAGGAACAGCCUCCAAACGUUCAAGCUCCAACCACUGUCAAUGCUCAACAUGGAUCAAGUGAAAGAAGACAUCAUUCCCCAGAGAACUCGUAUGCAAAUGGUGGAAGAUCUUCAAGCCGUGCCAAUAUUGUUACUUCUGGGAAGGCUGAUGACUACUAUCAUCCAGAUCCAAGACCUUCUCGUUCUAGGACUGAUGAAGGAGAGUGUAGAAAUCCAAAUCAUGGCUAUGAAAAUUCAUCUUCAAGAAGAAAUCAUAGGUGGGAAACAGAAUUUGUUGAUUCUACAGAUGCUGCACGUGCCGCUGCUGAAGCUGCUGAGAGAGCAAGUUUCGCUGCAAGAGCAGCUGCUAAACUUUCGAGCAAAGAAAGGAUGACGAGGCAGGAUACAUCGGAGUCGCAUAUAUCCUCUGCAUCUGUAAAUCUUAGAAACGAGCCGUCACAUCGACGUAACAGAUCUAAUGUACAAAGUGAAAGCUUUCCUGAAGAACAACAUUCGCCAAGACGGAAUAAUAGGAUGCACUAUGAAGAUAUGGGCAGAACCCGGCAAGAUAGCUAUGAUAGGGCAAAUGAAUCUGAUGUUCCUCUUGUACAUCAGCCAUCAGAUAGACAUCCCCUGGAUAUUUCGAGAAAUAACAGUUCCUUCGGUGAAAAAAGUAGAGGGAAGCAGCCAAGCAAGGAUGAGACGGAUUUAAAUUUUGGUCACCCUGAAGAUGUUUACCUCAUGAAGCAGUCAAGUCGCACUUCAUCGCAUUCACACUCGAGUGAUUACUCUGAUGAGAAUGUCAAUGGCUCAGAUUAUAUUAAGUCACCGAGCGUUGUGGAGGAAAACAUUUUUGCCACUUAUGAUGAUCACCAAUCUCAAAGCAGCUUUAAAGAUACAGACACCCAUUAUCAUGGACAUGAUGAUGCUACAACUGCUGAUACUUAUGAUGACUAUAGUUCGUUUUUUGAUAAACCUAAAUUCGACGCUGAAGAUAAUCAUUAUCAAGAUGAGAUUGAUCAUGGUGUGGGAUUCUCAUUGCUUGGCAGCAAAACAUCUGCGUCAGCGGCUGCCUGGAGCUUCAAAGGAGACCAUAGUAAGUCUCAUGAAGAACACAGCAGCUCGCGCUCACAAGUUUACCAUGAGAACACAAGUUCCCCAUUAUUUGAUGAUGUCUCUACAAGUCCUCUGGCUGCUUACCAUGAGCCUGAUCCACAUACCAGGUUUGACGAUUAUGGUCCAGAUUCAGAAAGCGACGGUGAUCAGCCAAAACAUAGAGGCAAAGUUUCUGGAAAUGUGCAUGAGAAGAAGGGGAAUCUGACAUCUGAUCGAUCUCAGGAAUUUAAAGUCUCUGAUUCUGCUGGACACGAAUUAUUCCCUGUAGACACAGAAGAACACAAUGAUAAUUCGAGGACACGAGAAGAAUCAGAUUCAGAGUCAGAGCCUCAGCUUGGUCUGAGGCUUGGAGCUUUGGCCGGUGGAUUUAGGAACAAAAAGACACUCCCACCUUACAGAAUGAGUCCGGCAUUGUUCAAGUCUGAAAAGGAGUAUAUCCAAACAGAUGAUUCUGGUCAGUCUAGCAGAAAAGAUCUUUACAGUAAGAAAGUAAGUAACACCGAGAUGAGACCAAGUCUUCUGCCUCCCCAUCCAUCUUCUAGUGAUGAAGACGACUCAGACAUGCAACUUCCAGGAAGAACAGAAACAAAAUCUGAUCCCUUAUUUAGUCAUUCCCGUGUCGAUCAGGACGACUUGGAGGAAGAAAAACUCCCAACUCGAUCUUCUUCAAGAAGUCAAGAGAGGACUCAUAAGCCAUCAACGGGAGUGAGAGAUUACAAGAGAACGAACUUCAAGAUGCCAGUUUCAGCAUCCUCUGAAGACGAGGAAGACAUCGAAAGAGUGGCUGAACGCAUCAAUGUCAAGCCAAAUAAACCAACUGGGUUCUCUCUAAGGACAAAGGGCCAAGCAAAAGCUCAAGAGGAGCAUUCAUUCCCUGUGACAACGAAGAAAACUGACAAAGAGCCUCAUGAUCAGCAGCCAUCUCCAAGGCACCAGACAGUAACUUCAAGCACUGUUCCACAAACUGUAAAAUCACCGGAUCCAGAAACCCCAUCAAGGGAGAGAGCUAGUCACGUUCAUCCCAACCUCCCAGAAUAUGACGAUAUCUUUGCAAGGCUCGGGGCCCUUCGUACUUCUAAUCGACGCUGAAUUUACCCAUCUUGUCCAUCUGUUCAUAUAUAUCUUCUUUGCCACAGAGAUCAGUCCCCACUCAUUCUUUACUCAUGACUGAAUUUGAUAACCUUACACAUCGACAUUAUAUAGAUUGAAGCAGUGUGCAAGAAACAAACAAACAAUGUGAACAAAGCCAGGCAAAUGUCAUGUUCUCACAGGAUUUCGACAUGUCAAAGUCCCUUCAUUA